GGCAAUCUGCUAGUAUAGUGAUUUGAGACUGUAAAGGGUUUGUUCUUUUGCUCUUUGCAAUUAAAUCUUGUGAGUGUUCACUGUUUGGAUCCCCAGUGCUUUUAUGAGCUGUAACACUCACCACGAAGGUCUGCAGGUUCACUCCUGAAACUGGCGAGACCAUGAACCCCUACUGGGAGUGAACGUACAAUUCUAGACGUGCUGCCUUAAGAGCUGUAACAGCGCAAAGGCUUGCAGCUUCACUCCUGAGCCAGCAAGACCAUGAAGCCACUAGAAGAAACUCUGGACAUGCUGCCUUUAAGAACUGUUAACACUCACCGCAAGGGUCCGUGGCUUCAUUUUUGAAGUCAGUGAGACCAAGAACUCGCCAAUUCUGGACACAGUAGGACUACUAAAGAAAUCAAAAGGGAAGGUGCUGAGGUAGGAUUACUAAGGGCACAGAACCUUCAAGGAGGUCAGUGUGCCAGGCAAAGACAGAACAGCAAGAGAUGGUGCUAAUUCCCAUGUGGACUAAGUUCACUGCUAGAGUGAGGAAAAGAGCAAUCUGAUUUUUUUCUUUUUUUUUGGAAACGGAGUUUUGCUCUUGUUGCCCAUGCUGGAGUGCAGUGGUGCAAUCUUGGCUCACUACAACCUCUGCCUCCCAGAUUCAAGCAAUUCUCCUGCCUCAGCCUCCCAAGUAGCUGGGAUUACAGGUGCUUGCCACCACGCCUGGCUAAUUUUGUAUUUUUAGUAGAGACGGAGGUUUUGCCACGUUGGUCAGCUUGGUCUCGAACUUCUGACCUCAGGUGACCCACCUGCCUUGGCCUCCCAAAGUAGUGGGACUACAGGUGUGAGCCACCGCACGUGGUGGUUUUUUUUUUUUUUUUUUUUUUGGAGACAGAGUCUUGCUGUGUCGUCCAGGCUGGAGUGCAAUGGCAACCUCCACCUCCCGGGUUCAAGCCAUUCUCCCUAUUCAGCCUCAGAGUAGCUGGGAUUACAGGCACCCGCCAUUAUGCCUGGAUAAUUUUGUAUUUUUGUAGAGACGAGGUUUCACCAUGUUGGCCAGGCUGGUCUUCAACUCCUGACCUCAGGUGAUCCAUGCGCCUUGGCCUCACAAAGUGCUGGGAUUACAGGUGUGAGGCCGAGCAAUCUGAUUUCCAAAAAGCAUCCUGCGUUUCGAAGAAAGUGAAAUCCAAAAGUGAAGAGAGGCUCCUCCUGCCCCCACGAUGGCGUUAGGCAUAUGGCCUGUGCAGCACCACUCGGGUUCUGGAUGAGCACACAGCAAACACGGAGUUUUGGAGUCUGCAGUGGAAGGAACCCUGGAUAAUACUCACUCUGGGAACAGAGCCCUGAAUAAGGUAGUGACUCCUCCAAAGCCACUCAGCACGUGCUCCAGAGCAGUGCUUUGUUGAGGGCUGUGGUGUGCUGGGCACCCUGUGAGGCUCUGAAGUUCCCUCAGCAGCAUAAUGGGGUAGAUUCUGUGAACGUCCACUUGAUGGACAGGGCAUGGAGUCUUGGGGAGCCUAAGAUACUUGCCCACAGUCACACGGCUAAUCCAUGGGGGAGCCUCGGGGUCUCCCUCCAGGGACCAUGCCCUUCUGACACCUUCCUUAACCUGAGGCCAGGAUCCUGGCUCCCGGCCGUGACCUCCAUCACCAGCAAGCCACUGAUACUAAUAGACCAGCAGACAGUUGCACAAAUGGCUUCAGUGGCAUCUGUAAAGCAUGUGUACCUGUCCUUGAGGGAACUCUCUCCCAGACUGGAGCCGGGUCGGCAUCUUCCACUCCUGAAAGGAUCAGGGUCCAUCUUCCAGUUCGUAUAACCUGGCACCCACGUGCCCGCCUCUAGUGGCCAAAUGCGUGAGGGGAUUAUUUGGAUUUGUGUGGCAUCUGAACCAUCAUUAAUUACAUUAGGCUCUCCACUGCAUCUCUUAAGUCCAAAUGAGAUCUGAA
rnacentral:lncRNA from 1 species